AUUGAACGCUGGCGGCAGGCCUAACACAUGCAAGUCGCACGAGUGGCGGACGGGUCAGUAAUGUCUGGGCAACUGCCUGCUGGAGGGGGAUAACUACUGGCAACGGUAGCUAAUACCGCAUACCAUCGGUUCUGCCCCGAUGGGAUUAGCUAGUAGGUGUGGUAAAGGCUCACCUAGGCGACGAUCCCUAGCGGGUCUGAGAGGAUGACCAGCCACACUGGAACUGGGACACGGUCCAAACUCCUACGGGAGGCAGUAGUGGGGAAUAUUGCACAAUGGGCGCAAGCCUGAUGCAGCCAUGCGGCGUGUAUGAAGAAGGCCUUCGGGUUGUAAAGUACUUUCAGCGGGGAGGCGUUACCCACAGAAGAAGCACCGGCUAACUCCGUGCCAGCAGCCGCGGUAAUUC
rnacentral:rRNA from 1 species